rnacentral:rRNA from 1 species
GACGAACGCUGGCGGCGUGCUUAACACAUGCAAGUCGAACGGAAAGGCCCCCAUCUUGGUGGGGGUGCUCGAGUGGCGAACGGGUGAGUAACACGUGGGUGAUCUGCCCUGUACUUCGGGAUAAGCUUGGGAAACUGGGUCUAAUACCGGAUAGGACCAUGGUUUAGUGUCUCAUGGUGGAAAGAUUAUUGUUUUGGUGCAGGAUGAGCUCGCGGCCUAUCAGCUUGUUGGUGGGGUAAUGGCCUACCAAGGCGUCGACGGGUAGCCGGCCUGAGAGGGUGGACGGCCACAUUGGGACUGAGAUACGGCCCAGACUCCUACGGGAGGCAGCAGUGGGGAAGAUUGCACAAUGGGCGCAAGCCUGAUGCAGCGACGCCGCGUGGGGGAUGACGGCCUUCGGGUUGUAAACUCCUUUCGUUAGGGACGAAGCCGCACUUUUUUUGGGUGUGGUGACGGUACCUUUGUUAAGAAGCACCGGCUAACUACGUG